rnacentral:rRNA from 1 species
UACGAGGGGGGCGAGCGUUGUUCGGAAUUAUUGGGCGUAAAGGGUGCGUAGGCGGUUUGGUAAGUCUUAUAUGAAAUCUAUGGGCUCAACUCAUAGUCUGCAUGAGAAACUGCCGGGCUUGAGUAUGGGAGAGGUGAGUGGAAUUCCUGGUGUAGCGGUGAAAUGCGUAGAUAUCAGGAGGAACACCGGUGGCGAAGGCGGGUCUCUGGGCCGAUACUGACGCUGAGGAGCGAAAGCGUGGGGAGCGAACAGG